rnacentral:rRNA from 1 species
UACGUAGGGGGCUAGCGUUGUCCGGAAUCAUUGGGCGUAAAGCGCGCGUAGGCGGCCAGAUAAGUCCGGUGUGAAAGUCACAGGCUCAACCUGUGAAUGCCGCUGGAAACUGUCUGGCUAGAGUCCGGAAGGGGCGAGUGGAAUUCCUGGUGUAGCGGUGAAAUGCGCAGAUAUCAGGAGGAACACCGGUGGCGAAGGCGGAUCUCUGGGCCUUGCCUGACGCUCAGGUGCGAAAGCUAGGGGAGCGAACAGG